GAUGAAGAACGUAGCGAAAUGCGAUAAGUAGUGUGAAUUGCAGAAUUCAGUGAAUCAUCGAAUCUUUGAACGCACAUUGCGCCCCUUGGUAUCCCGAGGGGCAUGCCUGUUCGAGCGUCAUUUCACCACUCAAGCCUGGCUUGGUGUUGGGCGACGUCCUCUUUGGGGACGCGCCUCGAAACGCUCGGCGGCGUGGCACCGGCUUUAAGCGUAGCAGAAUCUUUCGCUUUGGAAGUCGGGGCCCCGUCUGCCGGGAGACCUGCUCGCAAGGUUGACCUCGGAUCAGGCAGGGAUACCCGCUGAACUUAAGCAUAUCAAUAAGCGGAGGA
rnacentral:misc_RNA from 1 species